CGAUCUAUUUCGAUCAGGUCCC
rnacentral:miRNA from 1 species